rnacentral:rRNA from 1 species
UACAGAGGGCCCAAGCGUUACUGAGAAUCACUGGGUUUAAAGGGUGCGUAGGUGGCGCGUUAAGUCCGUUGUGAAAUCCCUGGGCUCAACCCAGGAAAUGCUUCGGAUACUGGCGUGCUUGAGGCUAGUAGGGGUCACUGGAACUGACGGUGGAGCGGUGAAAUGCGUAGAUAUCGUCAGGAACGCCAAUGGUGAAGACAGGUGACUGGGCUAGAUCUGACACUGAGGCACGAAAGCGUGGGGAGCGAACGGG